AUCCCAGGCUGGAGUUCAGAAGUCUCUGUAACACUCACCCCCCUCUUCCCUGCCUGGCCCUUCCCUUUCGCUUUAGCCUGGCAGGAAGAGGCUGUUGCUGUUUGCUUCAGGAAGAGCUCACACAAAGAGACAGUGCCACACCUUACCCUGGCCCCCUCUUUCCCCGCUGCUCCAAAGAGUGAAGCUCACAGUCUGGUUAAGGAGACAAGACAAGGCUGGGACCCCUGACAGUCGAUCAAGAGCAGAACAGCGAGGCUGUGUCUUGUCAGGGUGUCUGGGGCUGUGGCUGGAACACCACACGGAGCCCACUGGACUGGCUCGUUGAGUCCUGAAUUGGCCCCUGGCUCACUGUGUAGCCUCAGCCUCAGUUUCUUCAACUGAAAAAUGAGAAUCGUGUUCACCCACUCUGCCUGUCAGGACUCUGGUGAGAAUCCAGUUAGAUGAACUGUUAUGAUGCCUAAGAACAACGACUAUUUGGACAGUGUCUUGCUGUAUACCCACAUGAUCUCACUUGUCCUUCCAGCAACCCCAUGAGCAAUGAAAGAAACAAGAUCGUUGAACCAUGUCUACAGGCUAUUGAGGGAAACAGGCUGUGAAUCAAUAAUCCUGAAUCCAGCACGGGCAUCAUUCAUCUGGCAGCGUAAAAGGAAAACAUUUUCAAACAUAUGAAGAGUCAGAAAAACUACCACACAUGGACUCCACCCAACGAAAAUAUUUUAUCAAAUCGAGAAUGGAAUUGGAAUAGAGAGCCUCAAGACAGAGAAGUGGGACAGUCCAGGAGACGGUGGUGAGCAGUGACUCUGACCACACACAUAAUUAAAACUAAAGGGAUGCUAAUAACAUGCCUGGGAUCUCUAGUACCAAGUGAGGAGGAUUCUUGAAACAGAUGAAACACACAAUUAGGCAAAACCUAAAAAUAGACUGUAGCCUUAGAAAUUAUCUUGCUCCUUGUGAUUCUGUUUGUGAUUAGGUAAGAAUUGGUAUAAAACAUUUUGCCAGAUGCAAGCAUGAAUGUGGGCUGGCAAGAGAGGAAAUAAAAGCAAACAGUCUUUGUAUUAAAGUCAAAUACAGAACAACUAGAGAGUAGGUAAGUAACCAACUAGAUCUAACAGACAUACAGAGCACAUUCUACCCAAAGGCAGCAGCGUGCAUUCUUCUCAAGUGCAUGUGGGAUAUUUUCCAGGACAGAGCAUAUGAUAGAGCUACAAAUGAAGUCCUAAUAGAUUUUAAAUGAUAGAUACCAUACAAAGUAUCUUCUGUGACCACAGCAGGGUGAGUUAGAAAUCAGCAACAGAAGUAAAACUGGAAAAUUCUCAAAUUUGUGGAAAUUAAACAACACUCUUAAACAACCAAUGGAUCAAAGAAGAAAUCACAAGGGAAAUUAGAAAAUACUUAGAGAUGAAUGAAAAAAAUGCAACGUAACAAAACUCAUCAAUUAUACCUCGAUUAAAAAAAUUAAAAUUUAAAUAAAAUACUUAGAUGCAGUGAAAGCAGUGCUAACGGGGACAUUUAUAGCUAUACAUGUUUACAUAAAAAAAACAAGAAAGACCUCAAAUUAAAAGCCUAAUUUUAGAGCUUAAGAAAUUAGAAAAGGAACAAACUAAACCCAAAGCUCGUAGGAGGAAGGAAACGAUAAAGAUUAGAGUGAAGAUAAAUGAAAUAGAGAAUAGAAAAAUAAUAAAGGUCAAUAAAACCAAAAGUUGGUUCUGUGACAAGAUCAACAAAGCUGACAAACCUUUAGCUGCACGGAACAGGGAGCAAAAGAGAGAAGACUCAGAGCACUAAGAUCGGAAAUGAAAGUGAGGACAUCACAACUGGUUUUACAGAAAUAAAAGAAAUUAUGUGUGUGUGUGUGUGAGAGAGAGAGAGGAAAUGAAGUAUAAUAUUGAUAUCUAGAAAUGUUUGUAUGAGCAGUUUUGACCCCCAAAAGUUAACUGACCUUAGAUUACCAGUGUCAGUAUUUACUAUAAAACGUUUACAUAUGUCAUACUAC